rnacentral:rRNA from 1 species
ACAGCAGCAGCCGCGGGAAUACGUAGGUCCCGAGCGUUGUCCGGAUUUAUUGGGCGUAAAGCGAGCGCAGGCGGUUAGAUAAGUCUGAAGUUAAAGGCUGUGGCUUAACCAUAUUACGCUUUGGAAACUGUUUAACUUGAGUGCAAGAGGGGAGAGUGGAAUUCCAUGUGUAGCGGUGAAAUGCGUAGAUAUAUGGAGGAACACCGGUGGCGAAAGCGGCUCUCUGGCUUGUAACUGACGCUGAGGCUCGAAAGCGUGGGGCGCAAACAGGAUUAGAUACCCCGGUAGUCCCUGUCUCUUAUACC